AGUCCAUUUUAAUUUCAUUUAUUGUAAUUUUUAUGUUUUUAAGAUCGUUGCAACUAGGUCUAACUAGUCUCUACUUUUGUUUUUUUAUCCUGUUAAAUUUUUUUGAAGUUGCCAUUGAUGAAUCUUGAAUUUAAUGUUAAUUAGAGACUUUUUAACGGCCUAGUAUGUUUGGAUAGAAUUUUUAUUUGAAAAAAAUGGUUAAUUUGAUGAAUUUCUAUUUAAGGGACUAAAUUAUAAAAAUUAUAAAAGUUUGGGUAAUUGUGUAAAUUCAAAAAAUAAAAAGGUAUUAAUUGUAAAAUGGAUUGAAAUGUGAAAUGUAAGUUGAUAAUUGAGAAAUUUUACAUUAUAGAUCAAGAUCCCGUAGAUGUUCGUGGAAAAGGAAAAAUAACGGAAUAGUCCCUAAACUUUUGCAACUACUACAAUUCUGUCCAAGUAAGUUUAUACAGUUUAAAAUUUAACAUCUAUAUGAUUUGUUGAAUAGUACAACAUGAUACAAUAUAUAUAUUCAAUUGUUGAUAAUGAAUGAUUAUUUGACAUUUGUUAUUGAAUUUGAUAUUCGGAUUGGAUUGAACGCGGGAUAGAGUACAGUCGUGAUAUGGUGUGCUGUGGGGGAUUGGUGUGAAGAUGACUUUGGAGAGAUGUAUAUAUUUAUUUCUCGAGUAAACCGAGGUUCAACAUUUGUUGCGAACUCUUGUGUUAUACUCUCUAUUUGGCGUGUUUCGAUUGGACUAGCUCUUAUAAGCACUGACGUGUUUCGGUUGGACUAGCUCUUAUAAGCAUUAGCGUGUUUCGGUUGGACUAGCUCUUGUGAGCAUUUUAUGUUUUUUGGAAGGAUUGGCUCGUAUGAGCAUUUGGCGUGUUAUGGUUGGACUGACGAUGUGCUUCUAUUCGCAAUUUGUUCUUUGAAUUGAAAAUAUUGGUAAGGUAAUUUGUUUAAUGAAUUUGAUGGAUUUGCUAUAUAUUUGAAUAUUAAAUUGAAUGUAUGUGAUUUAUCGGUUGAGAUUACGGAAGACAAGGAACCUUCAUGGUUGAACUAAUAUUAUUUGAAUUGUUGUAUUUAUUCCAGUAAGAUUUAUCGUUUUGAUAUGUUGAACUUACUAAGCUUCAUUGAGCUUACUUGUGUUAUUUAAUAUUUUUGUAGAUACUCGAAAGGUCGGACGAUAGGAUUGGCACUUAAGUCACACUAUUUAGCAUAACUCAGUAGUUUUUGGAACGUUUAUUCCAAAUUAUAUGGCAUGUAAUAGGUUUGAAUAUUGAUACUAAUGUUUUGGAUAUGUAAA
rnacentral:lncRNA from 1 species